GAUGAACGCUGGCGGCGUGCCUAAUACAUGCAAGUCGAGCGAACACACGAGGAGCUUGCUCCCCUGACGUUAGCGGCGGACGGGUGAGUAACACGUGGAUAACCUACCUCUAAGACUGGGAUAACUUCGGGAAACAGGAUCUACUACCGGAUAAUAUAUCGAACCGGAUGGUUCAAUAGUUAAAGACGGUUUUGCUGACACUUAUAGAUGGAUCCGCGUCGCAUUAGCUAGUUGGUAAGGUAACGGCUUACCAAGGCAACGAUGCGUAGCCGACCUGAGAGGGUGAUCAGCCACACUGGAACUGAGACACGGUCCAGACUCCUACGGGAGGCAGCAGUAGGGAAUCUUGCGCAAUGGGCGAAAGCCUGACGGAGCCACGCCGCGUGAGUGAUGAAGGUCUUCGGAUCGUAAAACUCUGUUAUUAGGGAAGAACAAAUGUGUAAGUAACUAUGCACGUCUUGACGGUACCUAAUGAAUAAGCAACGGCUAACUACGUG
rnacentral:rRNA from 1 species